GAUGAACGCUGGCGGCGUGCCUAAUACAUGCAAGUCGAGCGAACAGAUGAGGAGCUUGCUCCUCUGACGUUUGCGGCGGACGGGUGAGUCACACGUGGAUAACCUACUUAUAAGACUGGGAUAAUUUCGGGAAACCGGAGCUAAUACCGGAUAAUAUAUUGAACCGCAUGGUUCAAUAGUGAAAGACGGUUUUGCUGUCACUUCUAGCUGGUUACGGGCGGCAUUAGCUAGUUGGUAAGGUAACGGCUUACCAAGGCAACGAUGCGUAGCCGACCUGAGAGGGUGGUCGGCCACACUGGAACUGAGACACGGUCCAGACGCCUACGGGAGGCAGCAGUAGGGAAUCUUCCGCAAUGGGCGAAAGCCUGGCGGAGCAACGCCGCGUGAGUGAUGAAGGUCUUCGGAGCGUAAAACUCUGUUAUUAGGGAAGAACAAAUGUGUAAGUAACUGUACACGUCUUGACGGUACCUAAUCAGAAAGCAACGGCUAACUACGUG
rnacentral:rRNA from 1 species